CGUUAUUCCAUAUCUUUAAGCUUCAACGUUUCUACCCAUCAUUCUGGGACGAAUGAUCCCAAGGGGGAGAUAAUGUAACACCCUGUAUUUUGGGCUAGAACGAAAAACCAUCAUUUCUAUGCGUAGAUGAUCCAAAAGCCAUAAAUACUAUGAAAAUUUUCCAUGUUAAUCAAUUAUGUAGUGUGGAAAAUUGAAUGAUCUUUCC
rnacentral:lncRNA from 1 species